CAAUUUAUGUUGUUCCCAUACAACUUUCUCGUUCUGUAACGACAUUUUGUUUGAUGACUAGGUCUUAAUUUUUUUUCCGUAUCCAAACGAGCUGUUUGUUUUGAAAAUAGUUUAUGUUGUUCCUGUACAACUUCCCUGUUCAGUUACGACAUUUUGUUUGAUGACUGGGUUGUAGUUAUUUUGUCGUACCCAAAUGAGUUGUUUGUUUUGAAACGAUAAAGUAUUGAUGGCAUGCCUGUUUACCUACAAUGCUGGUCAUCAAAAAAAUUAACAAGAAAUUUGUCGUUUCCAUACAACAUUUUUUUUUACAGUGUAUUUUGUUUUGCAACAGGCGCUCCCGUCCCGUAACGGUCGGAACGGUAACGGUCGUCUCAGGCGUCAGGCGUCACCUUUGGCUGGUCGGACUAUAUAUUGUUCUUGUUUGAACGCUCUUGCCUCCUUGGCCUGCGCGCCGUAUUGCCAUCGUCGUCUCAGACAGCCAGUCGGUGCUCGCCGCCGUGCGCUCGCACACCCCUACCGCUACCACCCCCGCGGUCAUAGUUGACAUCCGGCGCGUCAUCCGGGACCUCCUCGCCGAAGACCGCUGGGCCUCUCUGCACUGGGUCCCCGCCCACGUCGGCAUCCAAGCCAACGAAGACGCCGAUGUGGCCGCGAACGCCGGCCGCGGACUGGAUGAGGUCCGGCUCCUCUCCCUGCCGCCCAGCGUUUUCUACGCGGCGCAGCGAGACGCGCACGACGCGGCUUGGGCCGCUUUUUGGGCCUCCUCCCCCAAAGGUCGCCAACUCUUCGACAUUACGCCGGUGCCUUCACGGCGAACCUGGUUUCGCACCCUCAACGCUCCGCGGAAGGGCAUAACGACUGCCGUCCGCCUUCGCGUAGGCCACGCCCGCACGCCCGCCCAUCUUCACAAGGUGGCGGGACUUCAGUAUCCCGACUGCCAGUGCGGCGCCGAUGAAGCCGACGCGGCCCAUCUGCUCGUCGACUGUCUCUUCGUGGACCGGGUCGCGUUCCACACCGCGAUCGCCGACUUUGACGCUGAGUUGGACGCCGCUGCGGCCUCGUACAACGACCUUCUCCGUCGUCCGCUCCUGCUGGCGCAAGCCCUGCCAGCCCUCCUAAGGACUAAUCCCACCCUCACUCUGUGAGCUGAGAAGAGGGACCAGCGCCAGGCAUUUUUAAACACACCCGCCCAUUCUGGCCUUCCGUUGGCGACGCCAUUGGCCACAAAACUUUGAUUCUCUCUCUCUCAACCCCAGCCAACUGCAAUGGCUGUUUCCGGUCGCUAGCCGUCCCCCCACCACCACAGCCGGCCUGGGAUCUUGCCACCUUUGGAACUGCAAAUUAGGGGCGUAAAACCCUGUUUUUUCUGGUUUGGUAACCCAGCCGGCGAGUUAAACGUCACUGUUAUUCAUAUCUAAGCACGUUUGGUGGAUACUUUUCAUCGCUGUUCAAUGUCAGUUCAUUCUAAUUAUAAGUACGAACCAUAAUAAUUUUUUGGGGAUUCUGGGGAUGGCUGGCUGCAGUGUGUCAACAUGCACCAUUCCUUUGAAUGCUUCUGCUUUCAUUCUGGAUUGUUUACUUCGUUAUUUCGAAUAUUAUUUAUAAUGCAGCGUCGCGUUUUGACCAUGGAAAUGAAGAAGAUAAAGUGUUCUUUGCCAGGGUGGCGUGCUUUUGCUGUAUCAGGUGAUUGCAAGACCGUUUUCCACUUUCCAUCUGACACAAAGAGCUGUGGCUCCUCAUGACCGGGAAUCAACCUUUGCCAGUGCAUCAACACCUAGGAGUACACCGUGUAGACCUACUGAAGCUACUCAAGCCAUUACUCAUGUCAGUAAGAGUCCUGGUGACUUCUACACAGUAUAGAGUCACUCCAGCCACAGCCAGUGUUACUCCACUAGCAUCAUUCCAGUCACCAGCCAGAAGAAAAGUUAUUGCAAACUGUCAGCCAUCACCCUUGCCUUCUUCUCCUGGAAGAGUAGGCUGCACUAUUUGUCUCAGAAUUCUUACAAUUCUGUUGUGGC